rnacentral:hammerhead_ribozyme from 1 species
AUCCAGAUGAUGUGUCCCGAAUAGGACGAAAUGCGCGUCCUGAAU